rnacentral:rRNA from 1 species
GACGAACGCUGGCGGCGUGCUUAACACAUGCCAGUCGAACGGAAAGGCCCUGCUUUUGUGGGGUGCUCGUGUGGCGAAGGGGUGAGUAACACGUGAGUAACCUGCCCUUUACAUUGGGAUAACUUCAGGAAACUGGGGCUAAUAUCGGAUAGGAGCUCCUGCUGCAUGUUGGGGGUUGGAAAGAUUCGGCGGUUGGGGAUGGACUCGCAGCUUAUCAGCUGGUUUGUGAGGUAGUGGCUUACCAAGGCUUUGACGGGUAGGCGGCCUGGGAGGUUGGACGCGGACAAGAGGACUGCGGGAGGGACCAGUAGCCUACCGGCGGCAGCGGGCGGGAGUAUUGCGGAGUGGGGGGAAGCGUGAUGCAGCAACGCCGCGUGCGGGAAGACCGGCUUCGGGUUGAGAACAGCUUUCGACUGUGACGAAGCGUGAGUGACGGUAAUGGGUCAAGAAGCACCGGCUAACUACGUG